GUUUUGGUUGUGCCAAGAAAAUGGGAAGUGCAGGGACAGGGACUAUUUUCCAGACAUGGAGAGGGAGGGGCUGUUUGAAGGGAGGAUAUAUUCCUAGUUACUGCUGGUGGCAGCGAGUGCGGGGAGAAAGCUCUACUGUAAAGUAACCACGUGGGCAGCUGCACCACCAAGAGAGUGGCCAGCUGGGGACAGGGCUCACCAUCUCGCCUGCCAUCUGACUGGGUUUUAUAAGAAGCGAUGAGUUGCAGCUCCAGUGGACACCACCGGGGAAGGAGUGCGUGCCCCUGGCUGGGGAUUUGCUCUGUGUCUGAGGAGAUCACAAAGCUUCGCCAGCAACCUAGGACGGUUGAGAGGAACUGGCGGGGAGGGGGCAGGUCUGCGCUCGUGAUCAAAGGCGAGAAAGCCGCGCGCUGCAGGGGGCAUGCGCAGACCGGCCAAAGAUGGCUCUGAAAUCUUCCAACCAGUGGCGCCAGGAUGGACCCGACACCUAGAGUGGAGCACCCACGGGGCCACUCGAAGAAGAAUAUAUCUUUUCUUAAUCAUUCUGAAUCUUAAAUGAAUGUCAAAGCAUUUUCUACUCUUGUUUAUUUUAAAAGGUGAUGAAUGGUACUUACAACAGUUGAAUGAAAGUCAGUGCUGAUGACAACAUGCAUCUUAUAGGACUAAUCUUGUUCCUAACCAGGCCCAUAGCAAAAUUGCCAUUGACCUCAAUGGUGCAGGAUUGAGCCUUGUUUGCCAUAAAUAUAUUCUUGUGAAACAGACACAAGGGAUUCGUUCAGAAUGCCAGAAAUGCAUGCUGUUCCCUUUAAAGACACUGUUGAAAUGUAUAGGAAGAGCAAUAUUAUAUGCAUAUAUCUUAUAAAGAUGUGUUUGCCAAUAUACUUGUAAUAGAGCUCUCCUGUAUAUACAUAUUUUAAUAUUGUUUCAAAUGUUUAAAUCACUAGGCUGAUACUACCACCUCUGGGCAUCUGAUUACCUGAAAGAUGUAGACAAAUUGGAGAGCGUUCAGAGAAGAGUAAAAAAAAAUGAUUAAAGGCUGGACGGAUUUACUUCUGUGAAAGAAUAAUAAAGCUGAAUCUGUAUAGCUUAGGCUAAGCAAUAGCUAUGUUGUGAGGUAGGAGAGGAAGAAUAUAUGAAAAUAGUCUAUAAAUAGUUGAGAGAUGGAAAGAGAGGGAUUAUAUAGCAGCAGUAAAAAGCAAGGGUUCAGCAAGGAGUCCUAAUACCAAGAAAAAAUGAAAUUAUGACUAUAAAAUAGUUUUCCAAAGAAAAUGAUGAAAAACCUCUCUCAUUACAUCAGGGGAGGGGAACCACCAGCUUUCAGGCUGCAUUAGGCUCACUACUUCAUUUCAUCUGGCCAGUGGCAAAUCUGCUAUUUCCUUGUGGCCCCAAAGCACAGGGGAAAAUCAGAUAAGCACUAUGUGCUGCCCCCAUCGCCAAUGUCAGCUCAACAGCUCCCAUUCAUGGGAACCGUAGCCAGUUGGAACUAUGAGGGCAGAACCUAUGGGCAUGGUAGAAUGCACCAUGCAGUGCCAACUGGAAUCUCUAUAUAGAGGAUGGAUAUGAUGGCUGCUUCUGUGAGGGCCAGGAUUGGCAGGGAGAUUGCCUUAGCCCUGCUGUUCCACUGACGAGGAGCCAGCUCAGGUAAGCCAGAGCCUGCACCCUGAAUACCCUGCCCCUGGUCAGAACCAGCUCCUACUCCCAAAUACUCUCUCAUAGCCUGCAUCUGGCACCCUCUCCCACAUCUUAGCCUCUAGCCAAAAACAGAAACAUGAAAUAGGGACAUUGUCCUAAUACAUUAUGCUGCUUAAUUUCAUGUACCUCUAAAAUAAAAUGCUGACCUGAUGGUCCAUAAAAUGAUAGGUGAUCAGAUUUCAUGCUGAUGGACAUGGUAUAAAUAUACUUAGAUCAGUAGAUCUGAACUAUACGUGUACUUUUCAAUAGCCAUUUGUGUUAUGGACAUGAAAAAUGGAAUAUGUUUAUGGAGGAAUAAGCAUUUGUAUUAGAUCCAAAAUGCUAAACUGAACAAUUUUAGAAGACUUAUUUUAACCAAGAUAAAGAGAAAAUAAUAGUUGAUAGUGGAUGCUCCAAAAGUUUCUGUGUCUUCUCAUAUUCUCAACUUAGAACACUAUUUGGUACAAUACUCAUUUUAGGUGAGAUAAAUGCUAUUUUGAAGCUGGACAAUGCAGAACAGCUAUCAUGUUAGCCUCACUCACAUACACAGUAUAUAAUGUUUCAGAGGUAGCUGUGUUAGUUGUUUUUGUUGAAACUGAUAAGGACUCUGGUGGCAAUUCAAAGACUAACAGUUUUAUUAAUGGCAUCUCAAAACUUAGGCCAUAAUAAAAUUGUGAAUCUUUAAAGUGCCAUCAGACUCCUUGUUGUUUUUACUGUAUGUAAGAAGUUAAUUACAAAUGGAUUCAGGAACCAUAUUUUUGGGUUUGCUUCAGCAGAAUAUUGCUGCCUGUCACUAGUCACAUGAAUGUAACACUUUUUCUUUAUAUAGCUUUGUUCAAGACAUCCCUUAGCUAGAACAAUACAGAUUUGUACAACACAUGACACUAUAUUCAAAUUUUCCCAUCACUCAUGAACCACAAGGAGCUAAUUAGGAGGUGUCCAGGGACUCUCUAUUAUGACAAGCAAAAUAUGUAGUGGCGGAUCCAGGAUGGCUGUAAGUGCUGCUUUUUCAUAUAAAAAUACAUUCUUAAUUUUACUGAUUAACACAUAGAAAUGGUUUAUGUGGUUUAUACUGACGUAAGUGUAUAACGUCUGCAAGGAAUGUGGGCAAAAUCUGAAUAACUCCACUGAACUACAAGUACUCUGACCAAAUCCACUGUAUUCGCACCUGUUGAGAUCAGAGAAUAGCCCUACGGUCAUAUUCUAUUUCCAUAUGUAAUUUUCAAUUACAGCCUGAUCUGCUAAUGUGCUGACCUUGUGCUCUGUGAAAACGAGUGCCAUAAAUUCCAAUUAUGAUCAGUAGAACUUUAGGGUGCUUAGUAUCUUACUCGAUUGGUUCACUCACUACCCACAAUUUUUUUAGCAAAUGAAAUGAGAUGAAAGAAAAGAAAAAAUUGAAAUGUUAAGACAAAGAAUAAAAUCCACUGAAGUCAAUAGCAAAACUCCCAUUCCAGUGAUUCCAGCGAGGCCAGGAUUCUACCUGAAGUCUCUAAAGAUAGUGAAAUCACACAGCUAAAAACGGGAAGGCGUAACCGGCACAUAAGGAAUCAGACCAAAGUGUUGAAAGCAAAACUGAGAGGAUAGUUUAUAGGUACUCUGUUCCUACUCAUGCUGCUUAUGAUUACUGUUAGUGGUUAGCUGCCCCAAAAGGGGCAGCAUGUGGAGAGUUGAGAAGAAAUGAAUGGGUAGACAAUUAUACUCCAUCAGAUGUACUUGAAAUCAAUCACAGAGCAGUUUACUCAGUUAGGCUGUUUUUCUGAGCUCAAUGAUUGCCCGAACAGUUCACUGGAGAACCUUAGUAAUGAUCCGGCUUUCUGCAUAUUGAUUUUUUUAACAGCAUUGUCAUUUCAGCCAAUAGACGUCAUGUAAAGGCUAAAUGAAAAUGUUCCCUUUUAUUGGACAACAAGUGUAUCCAUGUAGGAACUUUCCAGGCAAACAGAGGCAACAAAAAAAAAGAAAGUAUCUCUUCAAACAUUUUAGCAAAGGAUGGGAUGGAAGAAUGGAUAAUAGGGGAGAAAGGGAAGGGGUUACAAUUGGUUGCAUUAAUAUGACUCAAGAACAUUAAUUCUUAUUUAAAUUUGUUUUGUAAAAAAGUAUUUGAAAUCACCUGCAUAUUAGAUAUUUUGUUAUUUAACAAUGUAAAAUAUAUCGUAUAUUUGCCCAAAUCAUUCCACAAAUGUCAUCCACUAUAUUCUGAAGUAGGCCUUAGUCUGUCUGGUCAAAUGUGGAUCCAUAUUCAAAGUUUUGCUCAGGUAAAGAGAAGCUUUUACAAAAUUUACAACCAGAGGAAAAUGUUAUUUAUUGAUCAAACCCAAAGUUUUUAAAAAUAUACACAUUUUCCUAACAUGUUAGCAUGAGGGUGUUGAAGUUUGAAUUGCAAACACACAACAGCCAGAAAACCAGAA